UGGAAGAGGCAACAUGAGUCCCCGCU
rnacentral:piRNA from 1 species